rnacentral:piRNA from 1 species
UGAAACCAACCUGGUGUACAGAGUAAGUUCC